CCUACGUGAGGCAGCAGUGAGGAAUAUUGGUCCAUGGGCGGAAGCCUGAACCAGCCAAGUAGCGUGCGGGAUGAAGGCCCUACGGGUCGUAAACCGCUUUUGCACGGGGAUAACACCCUCCACUUGCGGAGGUCUGCAGGUACCGUGCGAAUAAGGGCCGGCUAAUUCCGUGCCCGCCGCCGCGGUAAUACGGAAAGCCCAAGCGUUCUCCGGAUUCAUUGGGCUUAAAGGGAGCGUAGGCGGGCGUGCAAGUCAGCUGUAAAAUCGCGCGGCUCAACCGCGCCCCGCAGUUGAAACUGGACGCCUUGAGUGCACAACAGGCAGGCGGAAUUCGGGGUGUAGCGGUGAAAUGCAGAGAUAUCACGAGGAACCCCGAUUGAGAAGGCAGCCUGCCGGGGUGCGACUGACGCUGAGGCUCGAAGGUGCGGGUAUCAAACAGGAUUAGAUACCCCUGUAGUC
rnacentral:rRNA from 1 species